GCAAGUCGAGCGAGAAGCCAUCUUUGGGUGGUGGAGAGCGGCGAACGGGUGAGUAAAGCGUAGGUAUCUACCUAGUAGUGGGGAAUAACCAUUGGAAACGAUGGCUAAAACCGCAUACGCGCUGAGGGGGAAAACUGAGGUGCUAUUAGAGGAGCCUGCGUUAGAUUAGCUAGUUGGUGAGGUAAUGGCUCACCAAGGCGACGAUCUAUAGCUGGUUUGAGAGGAUGAUC
rnacentral:rRNA from 1 species